rnacentral:rRNA from 1 species
GCGAACGCUGGCGGCAGGCCUCACACAUGCAAGUCGCACGAACUCUUCGGAGUUAGUGGCGGACGGGUGAGUAACACGUGGGAACGUGCCUUUUGGUUCGGAAUAACUCAGGGAAACUUGUGCUAAUACCGAAUGUGCCCUUCGGGGGAAAGAUUUAUCGCCAUUAGAGCGGCCCGCGUCUGAUUAGCUAGUUGGUGAGGUAACGGCUCACCAAGGCGACGAUCAGUAGCUGGUCUGAGAGGAUGACCAGCCACACUGGGACUGAGACACGGCCCAGACUCCUACGGGAGGCAGCAGUGGGGAAUCUUGCGCAAUGGGCGAAAGCCUGACGCAGCCAUGCCGCGUGAAUGAUGAAGGUCUUAGGAUUGUAAAAUUCUUUCACCGGGGACGAUAAUGACGGUACCCGGAGAAGAAGCCCCGGCGAACUUCGU